GGGCAAGGUGACCCUGUGCCAGAUUCAAACGGCGUGAGAGGAGAAUAAACGAUGGCUCGCGUCAAAUUUCUUUGUGAUGCCGACCGCUGCAUUGAGUGCAACGCCUGCGUGACCGCCUGCAAGAACNNNNNNNNCUUGGGGCAUCAAUCGCCGCCGCGUCGUCACCAUCAAUGACGGCAAACCCGGCGAGCGCUCGGUGUCCAUGGCCUGCAUGCAUUGCACCGACGCACCUUGCGC
rnacentral:misc_RNA from 1 species